UUUUCCUUAAACACAAUUAAUAUUUUUCCCUGAAGUUCAUCCUUCUUCCCCACAUCUAUGUACUUUCAUUUUGACACAUAUUUAUAUACCUACGUGUAUGUGUAUAUGUAUAAGUGUGUACAUGAUAUUGAAUCACUUUUUAGUUUUUUUUGGCAUUUUUUUCAUACUUCAAGCAUGAAUUUGCUGAAACAAAACAAGAACGGAAACGGAAGAACAGUGACGUAUGCGAGGGUAAAAGAAAUGAAUAACAAUAAAAAAGUAAUAAUUGAGGAUGCAAAAAUACGGAAGUGCACAGCUGGUAUUAAAGCAAGAAGGGUAAGGGGAGUUUAAUUCCAACAACAAUUACAACUAAUAACUCGAACGGAGCUUGAAAUCACAACAAAUGAGUUGGAGGGAAUAUAUAAAUUGGUAGAAUGUUGGAAACAGCUGUUUACAAACCAAAAGGGGGCACAAGCAAUUCGAGAGUAACAAGUAGUAUUUGUACAAAGAGUGUGAAAAAUGCUGGCGCAUAAGUAUCGGAUCCACAUAACCUCUAUAAAUUGGAUUUAUAAUAUUUAUAAUAUUGAAAAUAAUGACUAAGGGUUUUAUGAGAUGCAGACAUAAGAGAGGAUAUCAUUUUAACUGUGGACGAAUCAAAGACCUGCCCAGCGGUAUCAUGCACCUCUAAUCAUCACACCAUCCUCAAUGCCGCGCUGAACCCUUCUCAAGGAUCGCCAAGGGAUUAACUAAGUGAAUUGUCGCUUGAACCACCACAAAAGCAUUGGGACACAAUAUGGCAUUGUUAGCUGUUAGUGUGAUAAGAGCUGCGAUCUACCAGUUGGUACCUCUUUGUUCUAGCCGUUGAUGUAUAUACACCUAACGUCGUAGCGGUUAAAGUGAGGUGAAUAUGCAUUGUAUGUAGAUAUGUAAACAGUUUUGACAUUAGCUCCUAAUAAUCACACUCUUACAUUUGGGCAUAAAGACGCAAACGUCCGCCUGACAGCAUUUACAUGAAAACGGUCUUAGUGUCUUUAUGUGUCUGCUGUAUUUUGUUGCAUUUCCCUUAGAGUCCUUUGGGGCCCAAUAACGCCACUAAUGCGAUUACCAAUGUGGAAGGAAUCGGCAAAUGUCCUUGUUGUCAAAGGUAACCCAGGCAAAGCAAAACCGGCGAGUCAAGUGCAAAAGGGAAAGUGAGUGAUUCUCGUAUUUGUAUGUAUGUAUGUGUUGAUGCUUUCUUCCUGUAUGCAAGAACAAUUGUGUUAUAUAAUUGUAUGUAUAUAUACAUACAU